rnacentral:rRNA from 1 species
GACAGAGGGUGCAAACGUUGUUCGGAAUUACUGGCGUAAAGCGUGCGCAGGCGGCUUCUCAAGUCAGGGGUGAAAGCCCAGAGCUCAACUCUGGAACUGCCUUUGAGACUGAGAGGCUUGAGUACGGGAGAGGUGAGUGGAAUUCCCAGUGUAGAGGUGAAAUUCGUAGAUAUUGGGAAGAACACCGGUGGCGAAGGCGGCUCACUGGCCCGAAACUGACGCUCAUGCACGACAGCGUGGGGAUCAAACAGG